rnacentral:rRNA from 1 species
CUCCAAUAGCCUAUAUUAAAGUUGUUGCCGUUAAAAAGCUCGUAGUCGAACUUCGGCCCUGCCGGCCGGUCCGCCUUCUUGGUGUGUACUUGCUUCGGCGGGCGCUUACCUCCUGGUGAACUCUGAUGUCCUUUACUGGGUGUCAGAGCGAACCAGGACGUUUACUUUGAAAAAAUUAGAGUGUUCAAAGCAGGCCUACGCCCGAAUACAUUAGCAUGGAAUAAUAGAAUAGGACGCGCGUUCCCAUUUUGUUGGUUUCUGAGAUCGCCGUAAUGAUUAAUAGGGAUAGUUGGGGGCAUUUGUAUUCCGUCGUCAGAGGUGAAAUUCUUGGAUUGCCGGAAGACAAACUACUGCGAAAGCAUUUGCCAAGGAUGUUUUCAUUGAUCAAGAACGAAGGAAGGGGGAUCGAAAACGAUCAGAUACCGUUGUAGUCUCUUCUGUAAACUAUGCCAAUUGGGGAUCGGCACAGGAUUUUCAAUGACUGUGUCGGCACCCGAAGAGAAAUCUUUAAAUGAGGUUCGGGGGGGAGUAUGGUCGCAAGGCUGAAACUUAAAGGAAUUGACGGAAGGGCACCACCAGGUGUGGGAGCCUGCGGCUUAAUUUGACUCAACACGGGGAAACUCACCAGGUCCAGACACAAUAAGGAUUGACAGAUUGAUAGCUCUUUCUUGAUCUUGUGGUUGGUGGUGCAUGGCCGUUCUUAGUUGGUGGAGUGAUUUGUCUGGUUAAUUCCGAUAACGAACGAGACCUUAACCUGCUAAAUAGACCAGCCGGCUUUGGCUGGCUGCUGUCUUCUUAGAGGGACUAUCAGCGUUUAGCUGAUGGAAG